rnacentral:rRNA from 1 species
UGGGGAAUUUUGGACAAUGGGGGAAACCCUGAUCCAGCCAUCCCGCGUGUGCGAUGAAGGCCUUCGGGUUGUAAAGCACUUUUGGCAGGAAAGAAACGUCAUGGGUUAAUACCCCGUGAAACUGACGGUACCUGCAGAAUAAGCACCGGCUAACUACGUGCCAGCAGCCGCGGUAAUACGUAGGGUGCAAGCGUUAAUCGGAAUUACUGGGCGUAAAGCGUGCGCAGGCGGUUCGGAAAGAAAGAUGUGAAAUCCCAGAGCUCAACUUUGGAACUGCAUUUUUAACUACCGGGCUAGAGUGUGUGAGAGGGAGGUGGAAUUCCGCGUGUAGCAGUGAAAUGCGUAGAUAUGCGGAGGAACACCGAUGGAGAAGGCAGCCUCCUGGGAUAACACUGACGGUCAGGCACGAAAGCGUGGGGAGCAAACAGG